ensembl:lncRNA
GUGCGGGGUCACGGUUACCGCUCAUGGUGAGUGUGGGUUAUUUGUGCAGGUGUGGGUUAUCUGUACAGGUGUGGGUUAUCGGUGCUGGGGCUGUACCUGGGCUACCUGCACCUAUACAGGAGUGCGGGGUCACGGUUACCGCUCAUGGUGAGUGUGGUUUAUUUGUACAGGUGUGGUUUAUCUGUACAGGUGUGGGUUAUCUGUACAGGUGUGGUUUAUCGGUGCUGGGGCUGUACCUGGGCUACCUGCACCUGUACAGGUGUGCGGGCUCACGGUUACCGCUCAUGGUGAGUGUGGGUUAUUUGUACAGGUGUGGGUUAACGGUACAGGUGUGAGUUAUCUGUACAGGUGUGGUUUAUUUGUACAGGUGUGAGUUAUCUGUACAGGUGUGGGUUAUUUGUACAGGUGUGGUUUAUCUGUGCUGGGCUACCUGCACCUGUACAGGUGUGCGGGCUCACGCCUGCCCCUCAUGGUGAGUGUGGGUUAUCUGUGCAGGUGUGGGUUAUCUGUACAGGUGUGUCAGGGUGUGAGUUAGCUGUACAGGUGUGGUUUAUCGGCGCUGGGGCUGUACCUGGGCUACCUGCACCUGUACAGGUGUGCGGGAUCACGCCUGCCCCUCAUGGUGAGUGUGGUUUAUCUGUACAGGUGUGGUUUAUCGGUGGUGGUAUGGGUUAUUUGUACAGGUGUGAGUUAUCUGUACAGGUGUGUGAGGGUGUGGGUUAUCUGUACAGGUGUGGGUUAUCUGUGCUGGGGCUGUACCUGGGCUACCUGCACCUGUACAGGUGUGCGGGGUCACGCCUGCCUCUCAUGGUGAGUGUGGGUUAUCUGUGCAGGUGUGGCUUAUCUGUACAGGUGUGGUUUAUCUGUACAGGUGUGUGAGGGUGUGGGUUAUCUGUACAGGUGUGGUUUAUUGGCACUGGGGCUGUACCUGGGCUACCUGCACCUGUACAGGUGUGCGGGCUCGCGCCUGCCCCUCAUGGUGAGUGUGGGUUAUUUGUACAGGUGUGGCUUAUCUGUACAGGUGUGGGUUACCUGUACAGGUGUGGUUUAUCGGUACAGGUGUGUCAGGGUGUGGUUUAUCUGUACAGGUGUGGUUUAUCUGUACAGGUGUGGUUUAUCUGAACACGUGUGUCAGGAUGUGAGUUAUCUGUACAGGUGUGGUUUAUCGGUGCUGGGGCUGUACCUGGGCUACCUGCACCUGUACAGGUGUGCGGGCUCACGGUUACCCCUGAUGGUGAGUGUGGGUUAUCUGUGCAGGUGUGGGUUAUCUGUACAGGUGUGGGUUAUCUGUACAGGUGUGGGUUAUCUGUGCAGGUGUGGGUUAUCGGUGCUGGGGCUGUACCUGGGCUACCUGCACCUGUACAGGUGUGCGGGGUCGCGCCUGCCCCUCAUGGUGAGUGUGGGUUAUCUGUACAGGUGUGGGUUAUCUGUGCUGGUGUGAGUUACCUGUACAGGUGUGGGUUAUCUGUACAGGUGUGGGUUAUCUGUACAGGUGUGGGUUAUCUGUGUUGGGCUACCUGCACCUGUACAGGUGUGCGGGGUCACGGUUACCGCUCAUGGUGAGUGUGGGUUAUCUGUGCAGGUGUGGUUUAUCUGUACAGGUGUGGGUUAUUUGUACAGGUGUGGUUUAUCGGUGGUGGUGUGAGUUACCUGUACAGGUGUGUCAGGGUGUGAGUUACCUGUACAGGUGUGGUUUAUCUGUACAUGUGUGUUAGCGUGUGUUUUACCUGUGCAGGUGUGUCAGGGUGUGAGUUACCUGUGCAGGUGUGGUUUGUCUGUGCUGGGCUACCUGCACCUGUACAGGAGUGCGGGCUCACGGUUACCGCUCAUGGUGAGUGUGGGUUAUUUGUGCAGGUGUGGGUUAUCUGUACAGGUGUGGGUUAUUUGUACAGGUGUGGGUUAUUUGUACAGGUGUGGGUUAUUUGUACAGGUGUGGUUUAUCUGUGCUGGGCUACCUGCACCUGUACAGGUGUGCGGGGUCACGGUUACCGCUCAUGGUGAGUGUGGGUUAUUUGUGCAGGUGUGGGUUAUCUGUACAGGUGUGGGUUAUCGGUGCUGGGGCUGUA